UUGUUUCAGAGUGAGCUGCUGGCUGCCGAGAUCAAUUACAUGGCCAAAAGGGAGAAUGAGCUUCAGAAUGACCACAUGAACCUCAGGACCAAGGACCCAAGAACAUGCCCUACAGGCCACCGACCAGAAGAUCAACCUGCAGGACACCAAGAACAUGCCCUACAGGCCGCUCAAGUGCCAGU